AUUGUAAUAACUGCUUCGCGCAGCCAAGAAAAACGCUAAUGUUUUACGUUACUACAUGCGCCCACGUGUACUGCCAGACUUGCAAGGAAGACUGCACUCGAGGCUCGUGUAAGAUGUGUGGUGCUACGUGCUCGACCGCUGCAUUGUCUCAAGACAUGAGCCCGGAGGUUCGGGAGCUUUUCAGGGACCCUAAACAAAUGUUCAAUAAGGCGGUUAUGGUA